rnacentral:rRNA from 1 species
GACGAACGCUGGCGGCGUGCUUAACACAUGCAAGUCGAACGGAAAGGCCCUGCUUUUGUGGGGUGCUCGAGUGGCGAACGGGUGAGUAACACGUGAGUAACCUGCCCUUGACUUUGGGAUAACUUCAGGAAACUGGGGCUAAUACCGGAUAGGAGCUCCUGCUGCAUGGUGGGGGUUGGAAAGUUUCGGCGGUUGGGGAUGGACUCGCGGCUUAUCAGCUUGUUGGUGGGGUAGUGGCUUACCAAGGCUUUGACGGGUAGCCGGCCUGAGAGGGUGACCGGCCACAUUGGGACUGAGAUACGGCCCAGACUCCUACGGGAGGCAGCAGUGGGGAAUAUUGCACAAUGGGCGGAAGCCUGAUGCAGCAACGCCGCGUGCGGGAUGACGGCCUUCGGGUUGUAAACCGCUUUCGCCUGUGACGAAGCGUGAGUGACGGUAAUGGGUAAAGAAGCACCGGCUAACUACGUGCCAGCAGCCGCGGUGAUACGUAGGGUGCGAGCGUUGUCCAGAUUUAUUGGGCGUAAAGGGCUCGUAGGUGGUUGAUCGCGUCGGAAGUGUAAUCUUGGGGCUUAACCCUGAGCGUGCUUUCGAUACGGGUUGACUUGAGGAAGGUAGGGGAGAAUGGAAUUCCUGGUGGAGCGGUGGAAUGCGCAGAUAUCAGGAGGAACACCAGUGGCGAAGGCGGUUCUCUGGGCCUUUCCUGACGCUGAGGAGCGAAAGCGUGGGGAGCGAACAGGCUUAGAUACCCUGGUAGUCCACGCUGUAAACGGUGGGUACUAGGUGUGGGGUCCAUUCCACGGGUUCCGUGCCGUAGCUAACGCUUUAAGUACCCCGCCUGGGGAGUACGGCCGCAAGGCUAAAACUCAAAGGAAUUGACGGGGCCCCGCACAAGCGGCGGAGCAUGCGGAUUAAUUCGAUGCAACGCGUAGAACCUUACCUGGGUUUGACAUGGAUCGGGAGUGCUCAGAGAUGGGUGUGCCUCUUUUGGGGUCGGUUCACAGGUGGUGCAUGGCUGUCGUCAGCUCGUGUCGUGAGAUGUUGGGUUAAGUCCCGCAACGAGCGCAACCCUUGUUCACUGUUGCCAGCACGUUAUGGUGGGGACUCAGUGGAGACCGCCGGGGUCAACUCGGAGGAAGGUGGGGAUGACGUCAAGUCAUCAUGCCCCUUAUGUCCAGGGCUUCACGCAUGCUACAAUGGCUGGUACAGAGAGUGGCGAGCCUGAGAGGGUGAGCGAAUCUCGGAAAGCCGGUCUCAGUUCGGAUUGGGGUCCGCAACUCGACCUCAUGAAGUCGGAGUCGCUAGUAAUCGCAGAUCAGCAACGCUGCGGUGAAUACGUUCCCGGGGCU